rnacentral:rRNA from 1 species
AGUGAACGCUGGCGGUAGGCCUAACACAUGCAAGUCGAACGGCAGCACAGUAAGAGCUUGCUCUUACGGGUGGCGAGUGGCGGACGGGUGAGGAAUACAUCGGAAUCUACUUUUUCGUGGGGGAUAACGUAGGGAAACUUACGCUAAUACCGCAUACGACCUACGGGUGAAAGCAGGGGAUCUUCGGACCUUGCGCGAUUGAAUGAGCCGAUGUCGGAUUAGCUAGUUGGCGGGGUAAAGGCCCACCAGGGCGACGAUCCGUAGCUGGUCUGAGAGGAUGAUCAGCCACACUGGAACUGAGACACGGUCCAGACUCCUACGGGAGGCAGCAGUGGGGAAUAUUGGACAAUGGGCGCAAGCCUGAUCCAGCCAUACCGCGUGGGUGAAGAAGGCCUUCGGGUUGUAAAGCCCUUUUGUUGGGAAAGAAAAGCAGCAGGUUAAUACCCCGCUGUUCUGACGGUACCCAAAGAAUAAGCACCGGCUAACUUCGUGC